rnacentral:rRNA from 1 species
AGAACGAACGCUGGCGGCAUGCCUAAUACAUGCAAGUCGAACGAACACUUCGGUGUUAGUGGCGCACGGGUGCGUAACGCGUGGGAAUCUGCCCUUGGGUUCGGAAUAACAGUUGGAAACGACUGCUAAUACCGGAUGAUAUCGAAAGAUCAAAGAUUUAUCGCCCAGGGAUGAGCCCGCGUAGGAUUAGCUAGUUGGUGAGGUAAAGGCUCACCAAGGCGACGAUCCUUAGCUGGUCUGAGAGGAUGAUCAGCCACACUGGGACUGAGACACGGCCCAGACUCCUACGGGAGGCAGCAGUAGGGAAUAUUGGACAAUGGGCGC